CAAGGCUUGGUGGGGUUUGUCGGCCGCCUGAAACCCAGAAGGCAGCAUCCAAAACUGCCUCCACAAGGCUACCCCUGCUGCGGCGGGUGUGUUGUGGUGUGUGCUCCUCAGAUGACUGUUGCCGAAUCACACGGGCUUGAUGCUUUCGAGCUGCGUCCACUGUUUGGUCUGCCGCCACUUGCUCAGGUGUUCGGUUGGCUCGCACCUCUGCUACCCGAGCUGCAUGUGCUGCUCGAUGCGUGGCCACUUGCUCAGGCGUUCGGUUGGCUCACGCCUCCGACCACCGCGCCCACCGAGCAGUAGCUGCUGCUCGGUCCGCCGCCACUUGCUCAGGUGUCCGGUUGGCUCGUGCAUCUGCCCAUCACGCUGCAGCUGCUGCUCGAUCCGCCGCCACUUGCUCAG
rnacentral:lncRNA from 1 species